GCCGGGCGUGGUGGUGCACGCCUAUAAUCCCAGCUACUUGGGAGGCUGAGGCAGGAGAAUUGUUUGAACCCGGGAGCAGAGGUUGCAAUGAGCUGAGAUCAUGCCAUUGCACUCCAGCCUGGGUGACAGAGCGAGACUCUGUCUCAA
rnacentral:SRP_RNA from 1 species